UAUCUCUUGUCACUGAAGGAACAGACGUCGCGCCUGCUGAGGGUCUCUGGUGGUUUUCUCGGGUCUGCUGAGAGCUCAGUAAUGCAUGUGACCGGGGGGAACCUUUGUGUCCUGCGAUGGCCUUUCAGGCUAAGGUGAUAACAACUGUGCCUAAUUGUUUGGAAGGGAUCUGGGUGGAGGCCGUACUACAGCGGUGAAGUCAGAGCGAGGACAUGAGCUUCCAGGAUGUGGAUGUGGAGGUUUUUUUAAUUGUGUUUACCCUCAAUGCCCACGAAACCCUCCUUUUCUAUGUAAUGACACACCUUGUGACUAUAACUGCACCAUGUUAGUGGUAAGAGGUGGAUAAGGUGAGGCCAGUUCCAACUGAAGGCCCAGAUGCUGCGCUGGUAUUUUUCACCAAUGGACGUUAUACGUUCUGCUGUGGAUGAGCAUCACAUUCCUCCAUGGACUCGUGUUCUGAUGAUCACCUUCCUUUGUGGCCGUGACAACUAAUAAAUGUAAAAAC